GCUAUUCUGGGCUGCUGUCUGAUCCCCCUUUCUUGCCCCAGCCCUGCUUCAGCCCUUCUUCUGGGAGUAGCGGGGUGGGGAGAAGCCAGCCCAAUUACAUAACCCCAUGGCAGGGACCCCUGGAGAGGCUGAAGAGCAGGUGCUCAGCCCCUCCCUCAGCACCAACAGUGAAAAUCUGCCGCUGGAGCCCAGCCUUGGGUGGCCCAGCAUGGAGGCAGUCACGGCACCGGAGGUGGCCUCAGGACCCACGCUGAAGGUGAAAGAAGCCAGCCCAGCAGAUGCGGAAGAAUCCCAGACUUCACCUCGACAGGGGGCCAGCAGCCCUAUUCCUCAGCUCCUGGCCCCUCUAGAAGAGCAACCUAAGAUCUGGUUACCUCGGGCGCUGAGGCAGACCUACAUCCGCAAGGUUGGAGACACUGUGAACCUACGAAUUCCGUUCCAGGGCAAACCCAAACCUCGAGCCACCUGGACACAUAACAGCUGUGCCUUGGAUGCCAGUCGUGUGAGUGUGCGGAAUGGGGAGCAGGACUCCAUCCUCUUCAUCCGAGAAGCCCAACGUGCUGACUCAGGUCGCUACCAGCUCAGUGUGCAGCUGGGCGGGCUAGAGGCCACCGCCACCAUUGACAUCCUGGUGAUCGAGAGGCCAGGCCCUCCGCAGAGUAUCAAGUUGGUGGACGUUUGGGACUCCAACGCUACCCUGGAGUGGACACCUCCCCAAGACACAGGCAAUGCGGCACUCCUGGGAUACACGGUGCAGAAGGCUGACACAAAAUCUGGGGUGUCUCAUUCAUGGCAUCUUCUUGGGACCCCAAAGCUGUGGUUCACAGUGCUGGAGCGUUACCACCGCACCAGCUUCACAGUCUCCAACCUCAUCAUCGGCAAUUCCUAUGCAUUUCGAGUCUUUGCUGAGAACCAGUGUGGGCUCAGUGAGACGGCCCCCAUCACUGCCGACCUUGCCCACAUCCAGAAAGCAGUUACUGUUUACAAGACUAAGGGGUUUGCCCAGCGAGAUUUCUCUGAAGCUCCAAAGUUCACCCAGCCUCUGGUGAACUGCACUACAGUCACCGGCUACGACACCCACCUCUUCUGCUGCGUCCGUGCCUCUCCCAAGCCGAAGAUUGUCUGGCUGAAGAACAACAUGGAUAUCCAAGGCAACCCCAAGUACAGAGCCCUCACUCAUUUGGGAAUCUGCUCACUGGAAAUCCGCAAGCCUGGUCCUUUCGAUGGGGGCAUCUACACCUGCAAGGCGGUUAACCCCCUGGGGGAGGCGUCCGUGGACUGUCGGGUGGAUGUGACGACUCCUCUUUGAGGCUCCCGAAGAGGACAUGGACAACCCUUGAGGAAGUUUAUGGAUUCCUUCUCCUGCAAGAGGAUAAUUGAAAAUGAAGCCAGACUGUGCUGAGAUUGUGUUCUUAAGGAGCUUCGGUACAGCAUCUGGUUUGGACUGAUCUAAAUAAAUGGGAGGCUCCUCAGUGCA